GCCGCGUGAGCGAUGAAGGCCUUCGGGUCGUAAAGCUCUGUUGUUAGGGAAGAACAAGUACCGUUCGAAUAGGGCGGUACCUUGACGGUACCUAACCAGAAAGCCACGGCUAACUACGUGCCAGCAGCCGCGGUAAUACGUAGGUGGCAAGCGUUGUCCGGAAUUAUUGGGCGUAAAGCGCGCGCAGGCGGUCUCUUAAGUCUGAUGUGAAAGCCCACGGCUCAACCGUGGAGGGCCAUUGGAAACUGGGGGACUUGAGUACUGGAGAGGAGAGUGGAAUUCCAUGUGUAGCGGUGAAAUGCGUAGAUAUAUGGAGGAACACCAGUGGCGAAGGCGGCUCUCUGGCCAGUAACUGACGCUGAGGCGCGAAAGCGUGGGGAGCAAACAGGAUUAGAUACCCUGGUAGUCCACGCCGUAAACGAUGAGUGCUAGGUGUUGGGGGGUUCCACCCUCAGUGCUGACGUUAACACAUUAAGCACUCCGCCUGGGGAGUACGGCCGCAAGGCUGAAACUCAAAGGAAUUGACGGGGGCCCGCACAAGCAGUGGAGCAUGUGGUUUAAUUCGAAGCAACGCGAAGAACCUUACCAGGUCUUGACAUCCUUCGCUACUUCUAGAGAUAGAAGGUUCCCCUUCGGGGGACGAAGUGACAGGUGGUGCAUGGUUGUCGUCAGCUCGUGUCGUGAGAUGUUGGGUUAAGUCCCGCAACGAGCGCAACCCUUGAUCUUAGUUGCCAGCAUUCAGUUGGGCACUCUAAGGUGACUGCCGGUGACAAACCGGAGGAA
rnacentral:rRNA from 1 species